rnacentral:rRNA from 1 species
UACCAGCACCCCGAGUGGUCGGGACGUUUAUUGGGCCUAAAGCAUCCGUAGCCGGUUCUACAAGUCUUCCGUUAAAUCCACCUGCUCAACAGAUGGGCUGCGGAAGAUACUAUGGAGCUAGGAGGCGGGAGAGGCAAGCGGUACUCGAUGGGUAGGGGUAAAAUCCGUUGAUCCAUUGAAGACCACCAGUGGCGAAGGCGGCUUCCUGGACAAUUGCUGACGCUCAGGCACGAAAGCGUGGGGAGCAAAAGGG